AGAAAAUCAUUUUAUGAAUGUUAUUGAGUUCAACGAUCCUCCCAUGAUCCAAAUGAACAUUCACUGAAAUGCAGUCGACGUGAUUUGACAUUCGUAGUUAUCCUCAAUUUAAUUCGUUGUAUAAAUGUCCUGCGAAAUCAGUUUCUGCACUUCCUGCUACGUCAAAUCUGACAUAAGUUGAUCCAACUUUUAAAAUAAAUAACAAUGUAACCUCAAAACACAAAAUGUAUUAAAUUUAAAUGAUAAUGUAAAUUUAUUUAAUUUAUCGUGGAAUUUUGUAAAUUCGUAAUUGGAAGUCACAUGGUUUUAAUGAUGCCGCAUAUUAGGAAAGUUUGGAAUUCUAUUUGUAAAAGGGUCAGGAUAAAACGUGGAAAUGAUUUUCGCAUAAAUCUGCCUUCAAGAAAAUCUAAUUGUAACGUGUGAUACAUUCCCAUUGUGUAAGAGGGGCCUGAUUACAUUUAUCCUGGCAUACUAACACUGCAAAUAAUUCGAGCAUCGCGUGCUAUCCGUAAGUAACCAUAGUUCUGUAAUUCGCACGCGUUUUGAACGAUCAUUAACCUGGUCUCUAAGCUGAUCAUAAAAUUUCGAAGGAAAAAGGAGGAAGAUCGAAACGGCGAUCGUUCUGUUCAAUGGAGGUUCCAGUUAUUAAAUUAAGGGUAUCGUUCACUCCAAGUUUUACGUGAGAGCGCUCGUUGAUCUGGGACGCACGCAGGUAAAUAUGUAAUUUCCUGUUAUUCAUAGACAAUCGUCUGGGUAUCCUGGAUUAAAACCGAUCAUUAGAUGGUUGCACGCUAAAGGGGGAGGUUACCACCGUAGAAGGUGGAAACUCGCGGAGGCGUCUGCAUCCCGGGUCAUUUCAGGUCGAAAGUUCGUCGGGCCAUACGUCUCUAUACAUAGAAGCGACUGAAUCACCCCCUUCUCCCCUUGAUGCUUCCACCCUUUCCUCUCUUUCUCGCACAUCCUGUCCCGUGGACUGACAGCUGAAGCCAGAAGUGACUGAAAUAUUCAUUGGCGCAAGGCGAACGAGGCGCGACUGAACGUCGAUCUGUCAACCUCUUUGACUAUAUAAAUAUGGAUUGCCAUCGAGCUUUCGCGCGUUAUAUAGAUUUAUAGCGAAGAAGGCAAUGUUUUCAACAUUUUUUGGCUCACCGAUGGAAAUUUCACGCGUUAAUUUUAGCAUCAGCGGGAAAUUAAGAUUGAAACGAGUGCCUUUUGAAAUGAAAAUUGAAUUGAAAAGAUGUGUGCAUGUAUGUUGUACAAAGAUCACAGGAUAACAGAAAAGCACUAUGACAUUUUAAUAUCAUUUUAUGAAAAAAAAUUAAAAAAAUGUAACAAAACUUGGCCUUCAUGUUUUUUAUUUAUUAUAAGUAUUACGUUAAACAUAUCAUGAUGAUAUAAUUCAUGUAAAUUUAAAUGAAACGAUAUCUCUGUCAGAGUAUUAUCAAGGGAUUACACUUCCACGAGUUUCGGGGAACGACAGAUCAUCAGGACUGCCGAGAAAUUUAAAGAGACGGACACUUUGCAUCACGAAAAUCGUAAAAAUAUAACUGUUAAUAGCCGUAUACACAUGUCCUCAUUUAACAACACAGUAGGUAUCUUUUCUCUGAAAUUCACUUUUCUAAUUUACGUUUAAUACGAUUAAAAUUUGAAGAGAAAUUAAAAUCAUUUCAAAUGCUAUUCUUGAACCAUCCAAUGUCUGACUAUAUCUAAUCACAUUGUACUUCCUUUAAUGCAAUUUUUAAAUUCAUUUAUUCCUCUAAGUGACAUUAAAAACACCUGCAUAAUUAAAUCCUUGGCUUAUAACUUGGAGUUGUA